UACGGAGGGUGCAAGCGUUGCUCGGAAUUAUUGGGCGUAAAGGGCGCGUAGGCGGCCAAGCAAGUCAGGGGUGAAAUCCCUCGGCUCAACCGAGGAAUGGCCUCUGAAACUGCAUGGCUUGAGACCGGGAGAGGGUGGUGGAAUUCCCAGUGUAGCGGUGAAAUGCGUAGAUAUUGGGAGGAACACCGGUGGCGAAGGCGGCCACCUGGACCGGUUCUGACGCUGAGGUGCGAAAGCGUGGGGAGCAAACAGG
rnacentral:rRNA from 1 species